rnacentral:misc_RNA from 1 species
UCCGAGUUGACCCCGGCAGUCUCCUACGAGUCCCCACCAUAACGUGCUGGCAACAUAGGACAAGGGUUGCGCUCGUUGCGGGACUUAACCCAACAUCUCACGGCACGAGCUGACGACAGCCAUGCAGCACCUGUGCUAGCCCCCGAAGGACACGGGCUUUCACCCGCUUUAACUAGCAUGUCAAGCCUAGGUAAGGUUCCUCGCGUUGCAUCGAAUUAAGCCACAUGCUCCGCCGCUUGUGCGGGCCCCCGUCAAUUCCUUUGAGUUUCAGCCUUGCGGCCGUACUCCCCAGGCGGGGCACUUAAUGCGUUAGCUCCGACACCGAAUGUGUCUAUACACCCGGCAUCUAGUGCCCAUCGCUUACGGCGUGGACUAC